GGGCUUGUUUCUCAGCACGUUUGUUAAUAUUAGAACGAUAGAGGGAAAGUCAGCAUGGCCCCUGCUCAAGGACAACAUAUAACUCCAAGACAUGCUGCAAAUUUUA